GUUUGAUUAUGGCUCAGGAUGAACGCUAGCUACAGGCUUAGCACAUGCAAGUCGAGGGGCAUCAUGUCGGUUGCUUGCAACCGAUGAUGGCGACCGGCGCACGGGUGAGUAACGCGUAUCCAACCUUCCCCUUAGUAGGGCAUAGCCCGUAGAAAUGCGGAUUAACACCCUAUGUUCUUCAUGGAUGGCAUCUGACGUGAAGCAAAGUUUACGCUAAGGGAUGGGGAUGCGUCUGAUUAGGUUGCAGGCGGGUAACGGCCCACCUGGCCGACGAUCAGUAGGGGUUCUGAGAGGAAGGUCCCCCACAUUGGAACUGAGACACGGUCCAAACUCCUACGGGAGGCAGCAGUGAGGAAUAUUGGUCAAUGGGCGAGAGCCUGAACCAGCCAAGUAGCGUGCAGGACGACGGCCCUAUGGGUUGUAAACUGCUUUUAUCAGGGGAUAAAGUCGGCUACGCGUAGCCGUUUGUAGGUACCUGAUGAAUAAGGACCGGCUAAUUCCGUGCCAGCAGCUGC
rnacentral:rRNA from 1 species